rnacentral:rRNA from 1 species
AAUCAACGCUGGCGGCGUGCCUAACACAUGCAAGUCGCGCGCGAAAAGGGGGGCAACCCCCGACGUAGAGCGGCGAACGGGUGAGUAACACGUGGGUAAUCUACCUUCGAGUGGGGAACAACAUCGGGAAACUGGUGCUAAUUCCGCAUGACCAUCGUCGGGGCUUCGGUUCUGACGAUCAAAGCUGGGGAUCGUAAGACCUAGCGCUUGAAGAUGAGCCCGCGUCCGAUUAGCUAGNGGUCGGGGUAAUGGCCCACCAAGGCUCCGAUCGGUAGCCGGCCUGAGAGGGCGGACGGCCACACUGGAACUGAGACACGGUCCAGACCCC